UCCCUGUGGAAAUAAAAAGAACCAGCUGUUAAAUGACUUAUGAGCAAAAAGAAGUCCUUUUCAAAGGGAGGUAUUGUUCCAUUUAAAGAAAUCUCCCUAUAAAAAUUCACACUAGCUAGUAAGGAAAGUAAUUUUAACUGCUGAUCUUGUCAUGCAUGAUGACUUUCUAAAAUGUCUGGCCAGCUCUCUGCUUCAAUUCAACAACUAGGAUCUCAAACAUCAGCAGCUGAGAUUUUUUUCAAACAGAACUCAGCCAAAACCUUUAAUUUAAACAACAACCAAGACGCUAACGCAGGCCAGCAGUCCAUAUCUUAAGCUGGGAGUCCCUAAAUGGAAAGGUAUCAGGCUCUACACACCAAGCUGAUCAGGGAGCCUCCGCCCAGCUAACCUCAAGUUUUUCACCACCAAUAGCUUAACUGGACAGGAACCCUACACAUGUGGACUAAACUCCAAGAAAAUAUAGAUAGCCUCUGACACCAUGGCUAUUUUAUUUUGAAUACAUGACUUUUCAACAAAAACUAAGAUUUAUAAGGAGGAGAAAAUAUUGCCUCUACUCACCCUAUCCUAGCCACCCGCUCCAAGGGAAGAAGAGUUGCUAAUCUGAUUGGUUAGAAGGCACGACAGUGACCACAUCAUGCUUACCCAUGGGCAGAAGCUAGCCACGCAUCUGUUCUCUCCCUUUGUGAUUUUCUACACAUGGCACAGUAAGUAAAUGGACUCAGAGCAGGCCUGGCCACUUCUUCCCAUAUAUAGUCUUGCCACAGCAUGCAAGUCAUCAUCUAUACAUACUGUAGUAUGCGGCACACCAGAAAGUACUACUAUUCCAAGAUUUAGAUUUGGACUCAGGUUGAAGGCUCUUCUUUGGCCUGAAGCCUAAACCACAUGCACUAAUCCAAUUUUCCAGAGAGCCCUACAAUGGGGAACUGGGUCGUAAGCCAGAUAAUGAAAGUGCUGUGUUGAUAGUUACUUCCCAGUUGAUCCCUGUGUGUGUCUUAUCAAAAAACCCUUGGGAAGUACAGCUGAGUAGAAGGCAUGAUUGAAAUAUUCCUCAUUACCAGAGUAAGAAUUGGGUAUAGCAAUUAAGAUGCCAUCUAGGACACUCACAUCCCAUACUGGACUGCCUGCUCCCAAGUCCAGCUUCCUGCUAAUGUGUGCCCUGGGAGGCAGCAGGUGAUGGCUACAGUAGUUGGGUUCCUGCCAGCCACACGGAAGAUCUAGAUUGAGUUUUCAGCUCCCUUGGCAUUUGGAGAGUUAACCAAUAAUGAGGAGUUUUCUCUCUCUCUCUUCCCCUCUAUAUUUUCCCCUCUCUCGGCCUCUCAGACAAAUAACAAAAUAAAUCAAAAUUUAAAACUAAACAUUCUCCAUAAAAUCCUUGGACCCUUUGCUUUCAUAAGGAAAAAUAUCUCUAAUUAUAAAGUUCAUAGAAUCAGAAAUGUUAUAACCAGUAUAUCAUUGAUAAUGAAUAUUGAACAUAAGAGGUAUAUAAUUACAUUAAGAUUAUAUAUACAGAAUUUAAAUGAUUAGAAAAGAAAAAUAUUAAGAUUCUUACAAUAUGGAUACAUUACCUGGACAAAAUCUGGGUUGGCUCUUUGUCAUUUAUUUUUUUUUUUUUUUUUUUUUUUUGACAGGCAGAGUGGACAGUGAGAGAGGGAGAGACAGAGAGAAAGGUCUUCCUUUGCCGUUGGUUCACCCUCCAAUGGCCGCCGCGGCCGGCGCGCUGCGGCCGGCGCACCGCGCUGAUCCGAUGGCAGGAGCCAGGAGCCAGGUGCUUUUCCUGGUCUCCCAUGGGGUGCAGGGCCCAAGCACCUGGGCCAUCCUCCACUGCACUCCCUGGCCACAGCAGAGGGCUGGCCUGGAAGAGGGGCAACCGGGACAGAAUCCGGCGCCCCGACCGGGACUAGAACCCGGUGUGCCGGCGCCGCUAGGCGGAGGAUUAGCCUAGUGAGCCGCGGCGCCGGCCUGUCAUUUAUUUUUCAACUAACACCCUAUUUUGUCUCUCCUAACUGAUGGGUUCUUCAAAGUAAGGUGGUGACAUCCCAGCAUCGCAGAGAAAGGGCCCUGUCUCCUUUAUCAAAAAAUACCUAACAUCUCAGCAAUGAGUGGUGUCAACUAACAACAACCAGUAUUUGAAAAUUCCCCAGGGUCAGGCCUUGCUCUGGCACUUUUCAUUUGGAUCGCACAUCCCCCACUAACUAGCACCAAUGCCUAAAGCACCAGCCACCAGUAAGUGAUCAACGAGGGCAGGCUUGAGAAUGAAAAAAGAAAACAAAAAUAACACUGACGACUUCUCCUGUGGUCAGUGGAAGCAUUACUUUCCUUGAGACACUCUUGCUGCAGCAUCUAAGGUUUGUGGCUAUUGAGGUUUCCUGUUGGUGGAAACCGGAGGAAAGAGACUAAAUGUGAGGCUCAAGUGGACGGGAAAAAAGGAGACUUUCUGUUACCCUUCUUUCUUACUGCUUUUCUGCUAGACAACAAAAGCACCGCAAACUCUGUGAUCUCACAGCAAAAGUGGCAAUCCUUUAAAGCGUGAAUGCAAUCUUCAAUCAAGAAAGGAGGACAGUCAAUAGAAGAAGUAAUGGAAGCAUGAAAUUUGAAAAGGGUCUCACUCCAUCUGAUAAACUGAAGACACUGGCCUCAGAGAUGUUAAGUGACUUCUAUAGGGCCUCAUACAAACUAAGUGAUAGAACUGGAAUUUGAAACUGGGUCCAUAUGGCCACAAAAUCCAAGCUCUCUCCAGGACACUGCUGCAAAUGAAGAAUAAGAAAAUGCUUUCAUCUUACUUACCCGUAGUCAUCUAUCAGGUGAGAGCCAAGUACCACCACAUCAAGUUCAAAGAACUCGGGUUCCGUCUUGAUGCCAAACAUGAUCGGGGCAAGUUUAGAAUAAUCGGCACGGUUGCAAGUAGCAACGCAAACCCGCAGCUUUCGGUUAUUCCCGUUCUUCUCCAUGAGUUUUUUUGUUUGCUUUGAGAGGUUCUUAAAAUAGAGUUCCUGAAGUUGCAAAAAUAAAAAUGACUUAUAAUCAGAAUGAUAAGUGUUAGAUACAAAAACAGAACUUUUCACUUGGAAGUCCUUAAGCGCAGUGAUUCCUAACCUUUGUUUCCACCCUCUGGGACACUCCCAUUGGUAAACCCAGAGUUGUGAAAUUCCAGCAGACCAAAUAACUCCACCCCUUUCUCUCACACUCAAGACAACACACUAGAAUGCAAUAAAGGAGUGACAAGGGAACAGGCAUUUGGUACAGUGGUUGGUUAAGUCACUGUUUGGGAUGCCUGCAUCCCACACUGGAGUGUCUAGUUCAAGUCCAGCUUCCUGCUGGUGCUUCCGAGUGGUAGCAGGUGAUGGCUAAAGAAGUUGGAUCCCUGUCACUCAUGUUGGAGAUCCAAACUGAGUUUCUGGCUUCUCGUUUUGGUAUGGCCCAGCCCUGACUGUUGUCAGCAUAUGAGGAAUGAACCAGCAGAUGGACAAUCUCUAUCUGUCUCUUUCUCUGUGUUAUCCCUCUGCUUCUCAAAUAAGAGGAAAAUAAAAUUUCUAAAAAAGAAAUGACAAAAUCAGUUCUCACUGGAAAGGCAAGGAAAUAUCAGUUUUAACAUUUAUUUAUUUAUUUUUUGACAGGCAGAGUGGACAGUGAGAGAGAGAGACAGGUCUUCCUUUGCCAUUGGUUCACCCUCCAAUGGCUGCUGCGGCCGGCGCACCACGCUGAUCCGAUGGCAGGAGCCAGGUACUUAUCCUGGUCUCCCAUGGGGUGCAGGGUCCAGGCACUUGGGCCAUCCUCCACUGCACUCCCUGGCCACAGCAGAGAGCUGGCCUGGAAGAGGGGCAACCGGGACAGAAUCCGGCGCCCCGACUGGGACUAGAACCCGGUGUGCCGGCGCCGCUAGGCGGAGGAUUAGCCUAGUGAGCCGCAGUGCCGGCCAGCUUUAACAUUUAUUAAAAAAAAUUUUGUGGGGCCAGUACUAUGGUAUAGCCAGUAAAGCCACUGCCUGCAGUGCUGGCAUCCCAUAUGGGCACCGGUUCAAGUCCCAGCUGCUCCACUUCCAAUCCAGUUCUUUGUUAUGGCCUGGGAAAGCAGUGGAAGAUGGCCCCUGCACCCAUGUGGGAGACCUGGAGGAAGCUCCUGGCUCCUGGCUUUGGAUCGGCAUAGUUCCAGCCAUUGUAGUAGCCAUUUGGGGAGUAAACCAGUAGAUGGAAGACUUCUCUCUUUCUCUCUCUGCCUCUCUGUAACUCUGGCUUUCAAGUAAAUAAAAUCUAGGGGCCGGCGCUGUGGCGUAGCAGGUUAAGCUGCUGCCUGCAGUGCCCCAUCCCAUAUGGGCACCAGUUGAAGACCCGGCAGCUCCACUUCCAAUCCAGCUCUCUGUUAUGGUCAGGGAAGGCAGCAGAGGAUGGCCUAAGUCCUUGGGCCCCUGUACUCUUGGAGACCCAGAGAAAGCUCCUGGCUUCAUAUCAGGUGUAGCUCCAGCUGUUGUGGCCAACUGGGGAGUGAACCAGCAGAUGGAAGACCUCUCUCUCUGCCUCUGCUUUCUCUGUGUAACUCUGACUUUCAAAUAAAUAAGUAAGUCUUUAAAAAAAUCUUUCAAAAAAAAAAUCUGUGCUUGCUAUACCUUACAACUAAGCCUAACAUACUAGGCUAUAGCUAGUUUGGCUGAGAACCACCAACCACUUUACAAAAAGGGAAAUACAGGUCCUAAAAGCAGAACUUACUUUCCCAAGACUCAAGAUCACAUCUUUUAAAAAAUUUUUUAAAUCCAUAUAUUUUACUUAUUUUAAAGUCAGACAGAGAGUCUUCAUCUACUGGUUUACUCCCCAAGUACCCACAACAGCCGGGGCUGGGCUAAGCUCAGGCCAGGAGCCCAGACCUUAGUCUGCAUCUCCCAAGUGGGUGGCAGCAACUCAACUACUUAAGCCACCACCCACUCUCUCCCAGAUGUAUAUUAGCAGGAAGCUGGGAUCAGGAAAGGAGCCGGGCAUCAGACCCAGGUUCUCUGACAUGUGUCUUAACUGCUGUGCCAAACACCUACCCUCAAGAUGAUAUCUUAAUAAGAACCUAAUCUAUUCAUCUUAACAUUAUACACCCCCGUGGCUCAAAUGCAAAGCACUGUAAUUAGUGCUGGGGAACAGCAGGAUAAUUAAGAUGAAAAACCCUACCCUCAAGGCAUCGUUAACACCUACCCAACACUGCUGACUGCCAAACUCCAAAUGCACACCAGAGAGCUCUUGCUAUGUGUCACAGCACUUAAAGUCAGUGUCCCAAACUGAACUCAUCUUCUUUUCGAAACCUGUUCCUCCGUAACUGUUCUCUGAUUCAGUUAUGCACUUCCAUGUAUCCAAAGGCCUCAACAUCCUUAUCUUUUCUGUUCCGCAUUCCAUACCCUCUAAGCUCUGUCAAUUCCACCUCCUGAAUAUCCACCAAAUGUGUCCUCUCCUCUUCAAUCCUACCAGGACCUCCCUUGGUCCAGUCCCUCAUCUUAGCUCUGGACUAUUAAUAACAGCUUUGAAGUGAUUGGCCUGUCUCUAGUCUUAACCUGUCUCCAACAAACUUUCAAAGUUAUUUUUCCAAAGAUGAUAUAUGUGGUUAUCACACUAAACAGAAUACACUACCUAUGGGACAUAUAUAGGAUAAAGUCCAAGUUGUUGCUCCAAGUUGUUGAUAAGAAACAUGUAGUCCGUGUUUCUUAGCCUUACUCUGCCAGAGCUCCAGACACAGCAACUGCCUCAAUUCAACUAGUGCAUCUCCACAUUUCUGUGUCUUUUAGAUGCAAAUCCCUCUCCUAACACUUCUUGCCUGGACUCCUACUCACCCUUCAAACCUAUGUCUGAGUGUCACCUCUUCUGGAAAGGCUUAACAUACACCUCAGUUCCUCGUCACCCUACCCUACCCCUCCAGGUUGCUGCCUUCUCUGAGCACCAUGGCCUUACCAUAAGGAAAUAAGACUCUCCCCCAACUCCACUGCCCACCAUUCCCCUACCGUGCCAUACCCUACAUUCAAAAGGUAAAAAGCAGGGACAAGGGAUAACACAUUUGCUUUAUGAGACAUUUGAAACUUCUCCACACCAGUGAAAAAUUUCACCUCUGAUAUCGAUGCUGUGGUUUUGGUAACUGGGAGUUCAGAGAAGCGGGGCAAGGAUGUCAGUACAAGCAGCACAGCCCCUUAGAUUGGGGUAAACUAUGAGACUCACUUGGUAGCCCAGCAGCAGGUGCUUUAGGGUAGAAUUCUGUGAACAUGCAAAUUACCCUUCCUUAGGACCACUCAGAAUUUGCUUUCCCCAGUUACAGCAAAGCCCACCCAAUGGAAAGCCCUUACAACAUAAUGGAAUGUGCCUUCUGCCGGGGGCACUGAACUCAGAAAACCUAAGCUCUAUCUAAUCACUAAAGGGACAAAAGUAUUCUUCCAAAGAUGGCUGCCCUAAGUGUUCUUGUCUAAAAUCCUUCUUUCUCUGAGCAUGUUCGAGCUGAAUAAAUUGUGUGUGGGUGAUAUUUAGAUUGCUGAGUGAGGCAAAGCAGAGCCUUCAUGGUUGGUUGAUUUGUAUUUAUUUUCCAAAGAACAGCAAACUUCCUGUCUGCCAAUACCAAAAUGCUUUGUUACGCAAGUUAUUCUACAUAAACUGUGAAGAUAAAAGGCCAAAGCUUUCUAUUAAAGAAAGAAGUAAAAUCUAAAAAAAAAAAAAAAAAAAAAAAUCAAAAA